rfam:Parcubacteria bacterium GW2011_GWA2_37_10 TS35_C0033, whole genome shotgun sequence.
GUUCCCGUUGAUCCUGCGGGAGAUUACUGCUAUUGGGAUUCCACUAAGGCAUGCAAGUCUAAGCUCGCAAGAGCUUGGCGAAAGGCUCAGUAACACGUCGAUAAUCUGUCCUUAGAUCAGGGAUAAUCUUGGGAAACUGAGGCUAAUACCUGAUAAAAAAUUGAUGCUGGAAUGCACUUUUUUAAAAAGCUUUGGCGUCUAAGGGUGAGUCGGCGGCGGAUUAGGCUGUUGGCGGGGUAAAGGCCCACCAAACCUAAAAUCCGUAAGGGGAAUGAGAGUUCUAGCCCUGAGAAGGACACUGAGAUACUGGUCCUAGCCCUAAGGGGUGCAGCAGCUAGGAAACCUUUACAAUGCACGAAAGUGUGAUAAGGGGAACCCAAGUGCUUGCUUUAAGCAGGCUUUUGCCGAGUGUAAAUAGCUCGGCGAAUAAGUGAUGGGCAAGACCGGUGCCAGCAGCCGCGGUAACACCGGCGUCACAAGUGGUGAUCACAUUUAUUUGGCCUAAAGCGUUCGUAGCCAGUUUAGCAAGUCUUUUGUGAAAUCGUGGGGCUUAACUUCACGGCGUGCAAGAGAAACUACUAAGCUAGGGACCGGAAGGGGAUAGGAGUAUUUCUUGGGAAGCGGUAAAAUGCUAUAAUCCUUGAAAGACUAUCUAUGGCGAAGGCACCUAUCCAGUACGGGUCCGACAGUGAGGAACGAAAGCUAGGGGAGCAAAACGGAUUAGAUACCCGAGUAGUCCUAGCUGUAAACGCUGUGAGCUAUGUGUUGCAUUUUUUUAGUGAAAAUGCGAUGCCGUAGUGAAGACGUUAAGCUCACCGCCUGGGAAGUAUAGUCGCAAGGCCGAAACUUAAAGGAAUUGGCGGGGGAGCACAACAACGAGUGAAGUGUGCGGUUCAAUUCGACUCAACACGAGGAAUCUCACCAGGGGCGACGGCAGUAUGAAGGUCAGAUUGAAGGUUUUACCUGACAAGCCGAGAGGAGUUGCAUGGCGGUCGUCAGCUCGUGCCGUAAGGUGUUACGUUAAGUCGUACAACGAGCAAGACCUAUACCUAUAGUUGCUACGCAUCAUUUUGAGGAGCAAGCACACUAUAGGGACUGCAUUCGUAAGAAUGAGGAAGGUGUAGGCAACGAUAUGUCUGUAUGGCCCGAAUCUCCUGGGCUACACGCGCACUGCAAUGGUGGAGACAAUAGGUUACAACUCUGAAAAGAGAAGUCAAUCCCUGAAACUCCAUCUUAGUUUGAAUUGAGGACUGUAACUCGUCCUCAUGAAACUGGAAUUCGUAGUAAUCAGACUUCAACAGAGUCUGGUGAAUAAGUCAAUGCUUCUUGCACACACCGCCCGUCAAGCCAUUCGAGCAGGGUCCAGGUGAGAUUUAAUUUUUUGAUUAAAUCGAAUCUAGAUUCAGUAAGAAGGGCUAAGUCGUCACAAGGUAGCCGUAGGGGAACCUGCGGCUGGAUCACCUCCU